AGGUAUACCUAAUGAAGUGGGCAUUGGACACAGACGACACACGACUGGACACAGGAGCCACUGUGCAUGUCAAGUGCUCAAGCGUGUCACAGGAAGUGAUCCAAAGCAGUGGGGUCAUCGAUCCUUCUUCGGAGCAGAAUGGAGAACGACGGGAAAGCCAGGGGGGUGCUGGAGCCUAUCCUAGCUGUCUUUGGACGUGAGGCGGGGUACACCCUGGACUGGUCGCCAGCCAAUCACAGGUCAGAUAUCGACAAACAACCAUUCACACUCACACUCAUACCUAUGGACAAUUUGGAGUCGCCAAUUAACCUAGCAUGUUUUUGGAAUGUGGGAGGAAACCCACGCAUGCACGGGGGAGAACGCGCAAACUCCACACAGAGAUGGCCGAGGGUGGAAUUGAACUCGGGUCUCCGAGCUGUUAGCCCGGCUAACCACUCGGGUCGCGGGGGUGCUGGAGCCUAUCCUAGCUGUCUUCGGGCGAGAGGUGGGGUACACCCUGGACUGGUCGCCAGCCAAUCACAGGAGGUCCUGGCUGACCAACUCCACCAGAGAUUCCGGCUGCACCCUGAAAGACAGAAUACCAUAAAUAGCUGCAAAGAGGAGCGGGCGCAAAAUGAAAGCAGAGAAGAAGUGGAGAAUUUGGUCCCGGGUCGCAGGGGCAGCAGUCUCAGUAGGAAAGCCCAGAUUUCAUGGUCCCCAGCCACCUCCUCCAGCUCCACCGAGAGGACACCAAGGUGUUCCCAGGCCAGCUAGGAAACAUAAUCCCGCCCCCCAGCGUGUCCUACGUCUGCCCCAGGGUCUUCUACCGGCUGGGCAUACCCAGAACACCUCACCAGGGAGGCGUCUGGACUAGAUGUCCGAGCCACGUCAAGGUUCUUUGCAGGACAAGUAACAUAAAGAAGCCCAGAAGUACAGAGCCCAGAGGGAGGCUGACGUCAUUGCAGCGCCUCGAUGACUGCGUUGCUGCGUUAAAGGGGCCUGUUGGGUGGCCCAGGAGGUCCCACAGGCCCUGGCAGCCCCACAGGUCCGUGUUCCCCAUCUUGUCCAGCUGGCCCCACGGGUCCCUUGUCUCCCUGAAGAACAAAGCCAUCCAAUCUGUUAUGCUCACAAAGCAUCAUCAAACUGGACUGGGAAUUUUGGAAAAAUCUUACCGGUUCGCCUUUAUCUCCGAGCGGCCCUGCGGGGCCCACAUUGCCAGGCCGCCCUGGCUGUCCUAUAGCACCAGCUGGCCCGUCGGGUCCCCUCUCUCCGGUGGCGCCCUAGGGGUACACUCAUUGUGAGCGACUCCGAGUCCGAGACCGUGGACAUACUGAGCGGCUGAUCCAGGUAGUCCUUGCUCACCAGGUGGUCCUGGUGAACCAGGAUGACCUCUGUCUCCAGUGGGUCCAGUUUCACCAGAUUUUCCCUACAGUACAGUACAGUACAGUUUUCAAGUAGUAUUGGAUGGUGGUAAAAUAUAAGUAUAGGUAAGUAUAACGCUCUUACCUGUGGUCCUACAACACCUGGUGGGCCUGGAGGACCAGUUUUGCCUUGGAAGCCCUAAUAAGUACAAACAUUUAGGUCAAAUGUUGUUAGCUUAGAGGCCCAUAUACAAAUAUAUUUAUAAUAUAUACAUUUAUUUAUAAAAUUUAUAAUAUGAAAUGUAUUUUAUUUUAAUUUUGUAAUGAUUUUUUUCAAUAAAUUGCAAUAUUUUAAAAUUACUUUAUAUAACAAAACAAAUUAAAAUAUUUAGAAUAAUACUGUUUGUAAUACAAAAAUAUAUACUAAAAAUAGAAAUAAAUUAACAAAAAAUAAUUUAAAGAUGAAAAAAUAUAUGAUAGGGCUGCAAGGUGGACCCGUGGUUAGCACGUGGGCCUCACUGCUAGGAGACCCGAGUUCGAUUCCACCCUCGGCUAUCUCUGUGUGGAGUUUGCAUGUUCUCCCCAUACAUAUAUUCCAUUUAUAUUUAUUUAGAUUUUUAGUUUUAUAUUUUAUAUAAUUUUUUAUUUUUAUUUUAUUUUGAAUUUUUUUUAAAUAAUUAUUUAAUGGUCAUUAAUUUCUCUGGGUAUUCCGGCUUCCUCCCACAUUCCAAAUAACAUGCUAACUCCAAAUUGUCCAUAGGUAUGAAUGUGAGUGUGAAUGGUUGUUUGUCUAUAUGUGCCCAGUGAUUGGCUGGCCACCAGUCCAGGGUGUACCCCGCCCUCUCAGCCAAAGACAGCUGGGAUAGGCUCCAGCACCUACCGCAACCCUCAUGAGGAUAAGCGGUAGAAAAUGAAUGAAUUAAUGAAAAUAUAUGAUAAAAAUGUAUUGUUUAUAUGUGAUUAUAUUGUCAUUGUCUCAUUAAACGGUAGCAUUGGUAUCACCUCACCUAUUUUUGAGGGAAAAAAAAUCUACAUUUAUCUAUUCAUAUGGACGACAGACCCAGCGAUUGACUAAUGCCUGGCAUAUAUUAGAGUGGAAGACAUGCUGUAGUUUAAUUAAAGACGUGAGUUAUGUUUUUUUUUAUCCUUUGAAAUGUCAUAAAGUCAAAGUCUGAAACUUUUUUGUACUUACAGGCUCGCCUCUCUGGCCAGGAUGACCCGGGAGUCCAUCUUUACCAGGCGGACCCUGAAAAUGUGUUUUUUUUUUUUGUUAUUUGAAGUAAAUCAAAAUGUAUAAAAUAAAUAAAAUGUCUACUUACAGUUGGUCCUUUUGGUCCUGUUUCUCCGUGCCUUCCCUGUGGCCCUUGGGGACCCUGAAGCAAUAAAUAAAAUACAAUAUUUCUUGUGUGACUCAAAUUAAUGAUAGUUUUGAGCGGAGGUUAUCGAAAAUGACCAUAGUAUUCUGGCACUUAUGAGUCAAGACAUUACCAGUUCCCCAGGGGAUCC